rnacentral:rRNA from 1 species
GUCGAGGGGGACGGAAGGGAGCUUGCUCCCGGAUGUUAGCGGCGGACGGGUGAGUAACACGUGGGUAACCUGCCUGUAAGACUGGGAUAACUCCGGGAAACCGGAGCUAAUACCGGAUAGUUCCUUGAACCGCAUGGUUCAAGGAUGAAAGACGGUUUCGGCUGUCACUUACAGAUGGACCCGCGGCGCAUUAGCUAGUUGGUGAGGUAACGGCUCACCAAGGCGACGAUGCGUAGCCGACCUGAGAGGGUGAUCGGCCACACUGGGACUGAGACACGGCCCAGACUCCUACGGGAGGCAGCAGUAGGGAAUCUUCCGCAAUGGACGAAAGUCUGACGGAGCAACGCCGCGUGAGUGAUGAAGGUUUUCGGAUCGUAAAGCUCUGUUGUUAGGGAAGAACAAGUGCAAGAGUAACUGCUUGCACCUUGACGGUACCUAACCAGAAAGCCACGGCUAACUACGUGCCAGCAGCCGCGGUAAUACGUAGGUGGCAAGCGUUGUCCGGAAUUAUUGGGCGUAAAGGGCUCGCAGGCGGUUUCUUAAGUCUGAUGUGAAAGCCCCCGGCUCAACCGGGGAGGGUCAUUGGAAACUGGGAAACUUGAGUGCAGAAGAGGAGAGUGGAAUUCCACGUGUAGCGGUGAAAUGCGUAGAGAUGUGGAGGAACACCAGUGGCGAAGGCGACUCUCUGGUCUGUAACUGACGCUGAGGAGCGAAAGCGUGGGGAGCGAACAGGAUUAGAUACCCUGGUAGUCCACGCCGUAAACGAUGAGUGCUAAGUGUUUAGGGGGUUUCCGCCCCUUAGUGCUGCAGCUAACGCAUUAAGCACUCCGCCCGGGGGAGUACGGUCGCAAGACUGAAACUCAAAGGAAUUGACGGGGGCCCGCACAAGCGGUGGAAGCAGGUGGUUUAAUUCGAAGCAACGCGAAGAACCUUACCAGGUCUUGACAUCCUCUGACAACCCUAGAGAUAGGGCUUUCCCUUCGGGGACAGAGUGACAGGUGGUGGCAGGGUUGUCGUCACCUCCUGUCCUGAGAAAUUUGGGGUUAAGUCCCGCAACGAGCGCAACCCUUGAUCUUAGUUGCCAGCAUUCAUUUGGGCACUCUAAGGUGACUGCCGUGACAACCCGAGAAGGGGGGGG